UUGACCCUGGGUCAGGCGGGACUACUCGAUGAAUUUAAGCAUAUCAACUAGCGGAGGAAAAGAAACUUAUAAGGAUUCCCUAGUAACGGCGAGCGAAUAGGGAAUAGCACAACCUUAGAAUCGGGCGGCUCCAUCGUCCGAAUUAUAGUCUGGAGAAACAUCCUCAGCAGCGGACCGGGCCCAAGUCCCCUGGAAGGGGACACUAAAGAGGGUGAGAGCCCUAUUGUGCUAGGACCCUGUCGCACUACGAGGCGUUGUCUAUGAGUCGGGUUGUUUGAGAAUGCAGCCCAAAUUGGGUGGUUAAUUCCGUCCCAGGCUAAAUACGGGCGAGAGACCGAUAGCGAACAAGUACCGCGAGGGAAAGAUGAAAAGGACUUUGAAAAGAGACUCAAAGAGUGAUUGAAAUUGUUGGGAGGGAAGUGGAUUGGGGCCAGUGAUGUGCCUCGGUCGGAUGUGGAACGAUGUUAUGCCGGUGUGCCGAUCAACUCGGGGAGUGAAUCAACGUUGAUUAGGGGCGGCCAAAGCCCGGGCUUUUGAUAUGCUCGUGGAACGUCAUCUCCUUGAUUGUGGAAGGCAACAUGCACCUCUAUCAUGCUUCGUCAUAUGCAUGCUCCGGACGCUGGUCUGUGGGCUCCCUAUUCGACCCAUCUUGAAACACGGACAAAGGAGUCUAACAUGUGUGUGAGUCAAUGGGUGAGUAAACCCACAAGGCAUAAGGAAUCUGAUUGGUGGGAUCCCCCUGAGGGGUGCACCGCUGAUCGACCUUGAUCUUCUGUGAAGGGUUUGAGUGUUACCAUACCUGUCGUGACCCGAAAGAUCGUGAACUAUGCCUGAGCGGGGCGAAGCCAUAGGAAACUCUGGUGGAGGCCCGUAGCGAUACUAAUGUGAAAAUCGUCCGUCUAACUUAGGUAUAGGGGCAAAAGACUAAUCGAACUGUCUAGUAGCAGGUUCAGUUUCCCUCAGGAUAGCUGGAGCUCGCGUGCGAGUUCUAUCGGGUAAAGCUAAUGAUUUGAGGCAUCGGGGGUGCAAUGCCCUCGACCUAUUCUAAAACUUUAAAUAAGUAGGAUGGCGCAAUUGCUUUAUUGAGCUACGCCACGGAAUCAAGAGCUCGAAGUGGGCAAUAUUUUGUAAGUAGAACUGGCGAUGUGGGAUGAAUCGGAAGCAGGGUUACAGUGAUAAAAUGCGCACUAACCUAGAUCCCACAAAAGGGUGUUGGUCGAUUAAGACAGCAGGACAGUGGUCAUGGAAGUCGAAAUCCGCUAAGGACUAUGUAUCAACUUACUUGCCAAAUCAACUAGCCCCGAAAAUGGAUGGCUCUUAAUCACGCGACCUACACCCGGCUGUCAGGCAAGUGCUAGGCCCCGAUGAGUCGGAUGGAGCGACGAUCUCUUCAAAACCUUGGGCGUGAGCCUGGGUGGAGCGGCUGUCAGUGCAGAUCUUGGUGGUAGUAGCAAAUAUUCAAAUGAGAACUUUGAAAGCCGAAUAGGGGAAAGGUUCUAUGUGAACGGCACUUGCACUUGGGUUAGUCGAUCUUAAGGGUUGGGGAAACCCUGAUAUAUAGCGCGUUUCACGCGUACUCUUAAAGGGAAUUAGGGACAUGGCGGUUGACGGCAACGUUAGAAAGUCCGGAUUUGUCGGCGGGGUCCUAAAGAAGAGUUAUCUUUUUUGUUUAAUAGCAUGCCCACCCUGGAAAUAACUCAGUUGGAGGUAGGGUCCAGCGGCUGGAAGAUGACCGCACAUCCAGUGGUGUCCGGUGCGCCCCCGACGGCCCUUGAAAAUCUGAAGGACCGAGUGUCGUCCAUGCUCGAUCGUACUCAUAACCGCAUCAGGUUUCCGAGGUGAACAACCUCUAGUCGAUGGAACAAUGUAGGCAAGGGAAGUCGGAAAAAUGGAUCUGUAACUUUGGGAAAAGGAUUGGCUCUAAGGGCUUGGCAUGUGGGUCCUAGUCCCGCACCCGUCAGCUGUCGGUGGACUACUUGAGCUGCUCCCGCGGCGAAAGUGGGUCGCCGCGUGCCGGCUGGGGGACGAACUGGGACCGGUUCAUUCGGGGGCCUUUCCCGGACGUUAAACAGCCAACUCAAAACUAGUACGGACAAGGGGAAUCCGACUGUUUAAUUAAAACAAAGCAUUGCGAUGGUCCCUACGGAUGUUUAUGUAAUGUGAUUUCUGUCUAGUGCUCUGAAUAUCAAAGUGACGAAAUUCAACUAAGUACGGGUAAAUGGCGGGAGUAACUAUGACUCUCUUAAGGUAGCCAAAUUCCUCAUCAUCUAAUUAGUGACGCGCAUGAAUGGAUUAACAAGAUUCCCACUAUCUUUGUCUACUAUCUAGCGAAACCAUAGCCAAGGGAAUGGGUUUGGCAGAAUCAGCGGGGAAAGAAGACACUAUUGAUCUUGACUCUAGUCCGACUUUGUGAAAUGACUUGAGAGUUGUAGUAUAAGUGGGAGCGGAAAGGUAAAAGUGGAAUACCACUACUUUUAACGUUAUUUUACUUAUUCCGUGAAUUGGAAGCGGGGCACUGCCCCUUUUUUUGGACCCAAGGCUUGCUUGCAGGCCGAUUCGGGCUGAAGACAUUGUUAGUUGGGGAGUUUGGCUAGGGCGGCACAUCUAUUAAAAGGCAACGCAGGUGUCAUAAGAUGAGCUCAACGAGAACAGAAAGCUCGUGUGGAACAGAAGGGUAAAAGCUCGUUUGAUUCUAAUUUCCAAUACGAAUACGAAUCGUGAAAGCGUGGACUAACGAUCUUUUGGACCUCUGAAAUUCGAAGCUAGAGGUGUCAAAAAAGUUACCACAUGGAUAACUAGCUUGUGGCAGCCAAGUGUUUAUAGCGACGUUGCUUUUUGAUCCUUCGAUGUCAGCUCUUCCUAUCAUUGUGAAGCAAAAUUCACCAAGUAUUGGAUUGUUCACCCACCAAUAGGGAACGUGAGCUGGGUUUAGAUCGUCGUGAGACAGGUUAGUUUUACCCUACUGAUGACAGUAUCACAAUAGUAAUUCAACCUAGUAUGAGAGGAACAAUUGAUACAAUUGGUCAUUGCGCUUGGUUAAAAAGCUAGUGGCGUGAAGCUACCAUGCACUGGAUUAUGACUGAACGCCUCUAAGUUAGAAUCCGGGCUAGAAGAGACUCAUGCGCUCGCCGUCCUCUUGUCGACCCGUAGUAGGGGCCUUUGUCCCCCAAGGGCAUAUAUUGUUGUCUAGGUCAUCGCGGCGGAAAAGCCGCGGUGGCCGCCUUGAAGUAUAAUUUCCAUCGAGUGGCGGGUAGAAUCCUUUACAGAUGACCUAAAUACGCGACGAGGUAUUGUAAGUGGCAGAGUAGCCUUGCUACCACAAUCCACUAAGAUUCAUCCCUUUGUCGCUAUAAUUCGU
rnacentral:rRNA from 1 species